GGGCGCAUGGCUCAAUGGUAGAGCGUUGCCUUCACACGGCAGAGGUUGAAGGUCCGAUUCCUUCUGCGCCCA
rnacentral:tRNA from 1 species